UAAAACGUAGGAGGCUAGCGUUAUCCGGAUUUAUUGGGCGUAAAGCGCGUGCAGGCGGUUUGAUAAGUUGGAUGUGAAAUCUCCCGGCUUAACUGGGAGCGGUCGUUCAAAACUAUCAGACUAGAGAAUGGGAGAGGAAGGUGGAAUUCCGGGUGUAGUGGUGAAAUGCGUAGAUAUCCGGAGGAACACCAGUGGCGAAAGCGGCCUUCUAGACCAUUUCUGACGCUAAGACGCGAAAGCUAGGGUAGCAAACGGG
rnacentral:rRNA from 1 species